GUUUGAUCCUGGCUCAGAGCGAACGCUGGCGGCGUGGUUGAGACAUGCAAGUCGAACGGGUACGUUUUGCCGUAAGGUGAAGCGUACUAGUGGCGAAAGGGAGAGUAUAAAGCAGGUAACGUACCCCGGACACCGGGAUAGCUCGCCGAAAGGCGGAUUAAUACCGGAUGAUGCUUCGUCCCGGAUGGGAUGAAGUCAACGGAUGGGGACCGCAAGGCCUGUCGGUCUGGGAGCGGCCUGCUUCCUAUCAGCUUGUUGGUGAGGUAAUGGCUCACCAAGGCGAUGACGGGUAGCCGGCCUUAGCGGGUGUUCGGCCUCACUGGGACUGAGACACUGCCCAGAGCCCUACGGGGUGCAGCAGUCUCGAAUCAUCCGCAAUGCGCGAAAGCGUGACGGUGCGACGCCGCGUGCAGGAGGAAGCCCCUCGGGGUGUAAACUGCUUUUCAGGGGUAUGAAGUCUGGCGGGUGAACAGCUCGUUAUGAUUGACGCCAACCCUGGAAUAAGCCACGGCUAACUUCGUGCCAGCAGCCGCGGUAAGACGAAGGUGGCAAGCGUUGCUCGGAACCACUGGGCUUAAAGCGGGCGUAGGUGGCCCGGCAAGUCGGGUAUGAAAUCCCUUGGCUCAACCAAGGAACGGCGCCCGAUACUACCGGGCUUGAGGUGCUCAGAGGCGGCUGGAACUCUCGGUGGAGCGGUGAAAUGCGUAGAUAUCGAGAGGAACGCCAAUGGUGAAGACAGGCCGCUGGGGG
rnacentral:rRNA from 1 species